rnacentral:rRNA from 1 species
CACGGUUUGACAUACUAGUAUCGGCAUUUGUGAAAGCAGAUGCCACCCUCGGGAGGCCAGUACAGGUGUUGCAUGGCUGUCGUCAGCUCGUGUCGUGAGAUGUUCGGUUAAGUCCGCUAACGAGCGCAACCCUUACUGUGUGUUAUACGUGUCACACGGGACUGCCGGUGUCAAGCCGGAGGAAGGUGGGGAUGACGUCAAGUCAGCAUGGCCUUUAUAUCCUGGGCUACACACACGCUACAAUGGCCAGUACAAUGGGUAGCUAAGCCGCGAGGCGGAGCCAAUCCUCAAAGCUGGUCUCAGUUCAGAUCGCAGGCUGCAACUCGCCUACGUGAAGAUGGAGUUGCUAGUAACCGCAGGUCAGCUAUACUGCGGUGAAUA